rnacentral:rRNA from 1 species
AGCGAACGCUGGCGGCAGGCCUAACACAUGCAAGUCGAACGGAUCCUUCGGGAUUAGUGGCGGACGGGUGAGUAACACGUGGGAACGUGCCCUUUGGUUCGGAACAACUCAGGGAAACUUGAGCUAAUACCGGAUGUGCCCUUCGGGGGAAAGAUUUAUCGCCAUUGGAGCGGCCCGCGUCUGAUUAGCUAGUUGGUGAGGUAAAGGCUCACCAAGGCGACGAUCAGUAGCUGGUCUGAGAGGAUGAUCAGCCACAUUGGGACUGAGGCACGGCCCAAACUCCUACGGGAGGCAGCAGUGGGGAAUCUUGCGCAAUGGGCGUAAGCCUGACGCAGCCAUGCCGCGUGAAUGAUGAAGGUCUUAGGAUUGUAAAAUUCUUUCACCGGGGACGAUAAUGACGGUACCCGGAGAAGAAGCCCCGGCUAACUUCGUGCCAGCAGCCGCCGUAACAC